GUCUUUUUGAAAUAAUUUAAAGUCUAAUCUGCCCACUGAUAUGAAUUAAAGGGCUGCAGUAUAAUGACUGUACAAAGGUAGCAUAAUCAAUAGUUUUUUAAUUGAAAACUUGUAUGAAAGAUUUGAUGAAAUAUAAACUGUCUCUAAUUUAUAAAUUGAAUUUUAUUUUUUAGUAAAAAAGCUAAAAUAAAUUUAAAAGACGAGAAGACCCUAUAGAGUUUUAUAUUUAAUUUUAUUUAAAAAUUAUAUAAAAAUUAAUAUUUAAAAUAAAAUUAAAUAUUAUAUUGGGGUGAUAGAAAAAUUAAAUUAACUUUUUUUAAAGAUUAAACAUAAAUAAAUGAUUAAAUGAUCCAUAAAUAAUGAUUAUAAGAAAAAAUUACCUUAGGGAUAACAGCGUAAUAUUUUUUUUUAGCUCAAAUAAAAAAAAAAGUUUGCGACCUCGAUGUUGGAUUAAGAUAAAAUUUAAAUGCAAAAGUUUAAAAGUUUUGAUCUGUUCGAUCAUUAAAAUCUUACA
rnacentral:rRNA from 2 species